GACGAACGCUGGCGGCGUGCUUAACACAUGCAAGUCGAACGGAAUGGCCCUGCUUUUGUGGGGUGCUCGAGUGGCGAACGGGUGAGUAACACGUGAGUCACCUGCCCUUGACUUUGGGAUAACUUCAGGAAACUGGGGCUAAUACCGGAUAGGAGCUCCUGCUGCAUGGUGGGGGUUGGAAAGUUUCGGCGGUUGGGGAUGGACUCGCGGCUUAUCAGCUUGUUGGUGGGGUAGUGGCUUACCAAGGCUUUGUCGGGUAGCCGGCCUGAGAGGGUGACCGGCCACAGUGGGACUGAGAUACGGCACGGACUCCUACGGGAGGCAGCAGUGGGGAAUAUUGCACAAUGGGCGGAAGCCUGAUGCAGCAACGCCGCGCGCGGGAUGACGGCCUUCGGGUUGUAAACCGCGUUCGCCUGUGACGAAGCGAGGGUGACGGUACUGGGUAAAGAAGCACCGGCUAACUACGUG
rnacentral:rRNA from 1 species